rnacentral:rRNA from 1 species
AUGGCCUCAUCAGUCUCGGAGAAGAUGCGGAAAAGUAAGAGGGGAACUAAGAGGGGGGGCGAUGAUCUCGCAAGCAGAUCGGAUGAGAGGGAUGGUGAUCUUCUCCCAAGAUCACAUAAGAGUACAAUAGUUCGCGAUGUAUACACAUAUGCUCGCUACAAGGAACAGUUUGGGGAUCUAGAGUCCAUGGGUUACCCUGAGCCACCAAUAACCAUGCCAGAUGAUGAUAUGCUUUUGGUUAAUACUUUCGAGGAGACUUUUGGCGACACAUACCCUGAAGGUGAUUGGCAUGAAUUCAGUAAAAAGGGCUCUUCCAACAUAGAUCGCUAUGUUGUCGCGCUUGCUUCAUUCAGUGGAGAGAAAAGGCAUUUUGCAUGCUCAGGUUUUUUCAUCGAAUGGAAUGGAUCUACGGUUAUUCUGACAUCGGCGGGCUUGGUCAGGAGUUCAACUGAUGAAAACAAGAUUGAUGAAAACUUGAGGAUCGAAGUGUUGCUUCCCAGGAGACGGCGCAUAAAGGGCACGCUACAGCACUACAGUCUACACUACAACGUUGCUCUAGUCGGCGUCGAGGAUUGCCGUGUUGUUCGUCCAGCAAUUAUUCAGCGUCUUCGGUAUGUGUGCUCUAAAAUAGCAGCCGUAGGGCGCUGUUUCGAAUCAGGCGCGCUGAUGGCCGUGAUCGCGGAAGAGGUCACCUGGACAGGCACGCUCGAUUGCGUUUGCGUUGAACGAAUCUCACGUAGAAUCACCAAGGCUGGUAUGGGAGGACCCCUUGUUAAUAUGGACGGGGAAGUUGUCGGCAUGGACUUCUACGACACGAGGAUCGGAACCCCUAUCGUGAUGUGGGAUCAUGUUCAAUGCAUUCUGGAACAUUUUUGUGAAAAGAGUAAGGCUGGUGAUGUUGGGAGUGACAGUGGUGAGGCUUUCUGGAAAAUGGAUGGGGAUCCCAGCGACAGGCUAAACAGGUGGCCCGUGCCCGCGCCAUGUUGGCGCAGUCGCGACGACGUGGACGCGGACAAGAAAUCCGAGGAGGAUGAGCUGAACCUCGAACCCCCGCCCCCCAGUGACAGUUUCGACUGGAGCUUCAAUUUCUUCAAUUUUUUUGAACAGGAGCCGGGCUCUAAACCCUCAUCCAGCCGCAGAAGCAACGAACCCCGCAGUAACCCAUACAUAUACGGAUACAUAGAUGGGGAGAGAGUUUUACUUUCUCUUUGA